rnacentral:rRNA from 1 species
GCCAGACUCCUACGGGAGGCAGCAGUGGGGAAUAUUGCACAAUGGGGGAAACCCUGAUGCAGCGACGCCGCGUGAGUGAGGAAGUAUUUCGGUAUGUAAAGCUCUCUCAGCAGGGAAGAAAAUGACGGUACCUGACUAAGAAGCCCCGGCUAACUACGUGCCAGCAGCCGCGGUAAUACGUAGGGGGCAAGCGUUAUCCGGAUUUACUGGGUGUAAAGGGAGCGUAGACGGAUAAGCAAGUCUGAUGUGAAAAUCCGGGGCCCAACCCCGGAAUUGCAUUGGAAACUGCAUAUCUAGAGUGUCGGAGAGGCAAGUGGAAUUCCUGGUGUAGCGGUGAAAUGCGUAGAUAUCAGGAGGAACAUCGGUGGCGUAAGCGCUUUACUGGGCCGUAAUUGACGCUGAGGAACGAAAGCCAGGGUAGCAAAUGGGAUUAGAUACCCCAGUACA